GGGGGCGUACUGGUUUCGACUGUUGGUUCGAGACACAGGCCGCAUGCCGAGGAAGCCUGGUUGGCCUCGUUAAAACACCUGGGCAAAACAUAACUGCGAACAACGUAGUUGAAGCCGACUUCUCUUCGGAGGAGCUGGCCCUCGCGGCUUAAUUGACCGUGACGUCCCCGCUGUGACGCCUGCUGGCGGCGGGGGCGACGACAGCAGGCUGGCCCGAGGGCGGAAUGACCGCGCCCAAAGGUAAGAAAAUUUCGUGGUCGACCGGGAGAGGGCAGUUUGCCCGCCAAUCGUUUCUCUCCUCAAAUUAAGGACGGGCUAAGCAUGUAGAAACUUGUGAUGAGAGUCAUCAGGACAGGGGUUCAACUCCCCUCGCCUCCACUU
rnacentral:tmRNA from 2 species